ACGAACGCUGGCGGCGUGCUUAACACAUGCAAGUCGAACGAGAGGAGAAGGAAGCCUGCUUCUUUCAAAUCUAGUGGCAAACGGGUGAGUAACGCGUAAGCAACCUGCCCUUCAGAUGGGGACAACAGCUGGAAACGGCUGCUAAUACCGAAUACGUUCUUUUUGUCGCAUGGCAGAGGGAAGAAAGGGAGGCUCUUCGGAGCUUUCGCUGAAGGAGGGGCUUGCGUCUGAUUAGCUAGUUGGUGGGGCAACGGCCUACCAAGGCGACGAUCAGUAGCCGGUCUGAGAGGAUGAACGGCCACAUUGGAACUGAGACACGGUCCAGACUCCUACGGGAGGCAGCAGUGGGGAAUCUUCCGCAAUGGGCGAAAGCCUGACGGAGCAAUGCCGCGUGAGUGAAGAAGGUUUUCGGAUCGUAAAGCUCUGUUGAGAGGGACGAGAGGCAAGGCUAGGAAAUGAGCUUUGUAGGACGGUACCUUUCGAGGAAGCCACGGCUAACUACGUG
rnacentral:rRNA from 1 species